GGUGAGAUAAGCCGAGUGUCAGGCCUAGCGGCAGCCGUCUCGAAAACGGCAGGUCCUUCAACGGGCGUCUGGGUUCGAGUCCCAGUCUCACCG
rnacentral:tRNA from 1 species